AGAUUCCUACUGUCCCUAUCUACGGUCAUGUGAACCAACAGGCAAGGGAACGGACUUGCACGUACGCAGCGGGGAAAGAAGACCCUGUUGAGCUUGACUCUAGUCUGAAUUUGUACGGAGACAUUGGAAGUGCAGCAUAAGUGGGAGACGCAAGUCGACAAUUGAGAUACCACUAUUCCUUUCGUCUCCGUACUCCACUCGGUUAUAGUGAGAAGUAAACAAAAGUCUUGGUUAAGUCUGGGGAUAUCGGGGUGCGUGUGUGCGCAAGUGCGCUCGUGCUCUUUCCUUUGCCUCUGACUACCGAGGACAGAUUCAGGUGGGGAGUUUGACUGGGGCGGUACAUCUGUCAAACGAUAACGCAGGUGUCCCAAGGCCAGCUCAACGAGAACGGAAAUCUCGUGUAGAGCAUAAGGGCCUAUGCUGGCUUGAUCCGGACUUUCAGUACAAGUACGGACGGUGAAAGCCAGGCCUAUCGAUCCUUUUGACUUUAUUGAGUUUAUAGCAAGAGGUAUCAGAAAAGUUACCACAGGGAUAACUGGCU
rnacentral:rRNA from 1 species